UACGUAGGGGGCAAGCGUUGUCCGGAAUCAUUGGGCGUAAAGAGCGUGUAGGCGGCCCGGUAAGUCCGCUGUGAAAGUCCAGGGCUCAACCCUGGGAUGCCGGUGGAUACUGUCGGGCUCGAGUCCGGAAGAGGCGAGUGGAAUUCCCGGUGUAGCGGUGAAAUGCGCAGAUAUCAGGAAGAACACCAAUGGCGAAGGCAGCUCUCUGGGACGGUACUGACGCUGAGACGCGAAAGCGUGGGGAGCGAACAGG
rnacentral:rRNA from 1 species